rnacentral:rRNA from 1 species
CGGACAGGUGAGUAACACGUGGAUAACUUACCUAUAAGACUGGGAUAACUUCGGGAAACCGGAGCUAAUACCGGAUAAUAUAUUGAACCGCAUGGUUCAAUAGUGAAAGACGGUUUUGCUGUCACUUAUAGAUGGAUCCGCGCCGCAUUAGCUAGUUGGUAAGGUAACGGCUUACCAAGGCAACGAUGCGUAGCCGACCUGAGAGGGUGAUCGGCCACACUGGAACUGAGACACGGUCCAGACUCCUACGGGAGGCAGCAGGC